rnacentral:rRNA from 1 species
AGCCAUGCGAGUCGUUGUAACAAUACAAGGCGGACGGCUCAGUAACACGUAGUCAACCUAACCUAUGGACGUGGAUAACCUCGGGAAACUGAGAAUAAACCGCGAUAGAUCAUUAUGCCUGGAAUGGCUUAUGGUUCAAACAAUUUAUUGCCGUAGGAUGGGACUGCGGCCUAUCAGCUUGUUGGUGAGGUAAUGGCCCACCAAGGCUAUUACAGGUCGGGCUCUGAGAGGAGAAGCCCGGAGAUGGGUACUGAGACACGGACCCAGGCCCUAUGGGCGCAGCAGGCGAGAAACCUUAGCAAUGUGCGAAAGCACGACUAGGUUAUCCGAGUGAUUUCUGUUGAAGAAAUCUUUUUGUCAGUCGAAAACCACAGACGAUAAGGGGUGGGCAAGUCUGGUGUCAGCCGCCGCCGGUAAUACCAGCACCUCAAGUGGUCAGGAGUUUAUUUGGGCCUAAACAUCGUAGCCGGUUUGCAAGUCUCCGGUUAAUCAGCUGCUCACGAAGGGCUGCCGAGAUCUACAAGCUAGGAGCGGAGAAGUAGACGGAUUCGUGGUAGGUAAAUCAAUGAUCAUCAGACCACGUGGCGAGGC